rnacentral:tRNA from 2 species
UUAAGCGUUGCGCAGCCUGGUAGCGCACUAUACACGGAGUGUAGUGGUCGUGGGUUCGAUUUCCGCCGCUCCAACCA